UUCCUCUUCCACCGCUUCUUUUGCCUCAAAGACUGACCUCCAUUCACUCACCCAAAGGUCAAAAUCUACACUUUUCCAAUAGCUUCAGAGAGAUUGCUGUGAAACCCACCGACCUCGAAUUGAAUUCCUUGGUUACUUGCAGCUAUCUCUAGUGGUUGGAAUUGCUGAUUAUCGAGUGGGUAUUAGCAUUUUGAUUUGGGUUGCCGCUUGUAGCAGUGGAUUGGGGUUUUGUUAGCCGCUGAACUAAGGCUUGAGGUAGGGAAAACAAAACUUUCUUAUAGCUUAGUUUCUAAUCUGGUGUGUACGUAGUGAGUGUGAUUGCUUUGGAAUGUUUUCUUUACCAAUUGUUUUGAGAUUAUUGUUUUGGGUAUUAUUUGAUUUGUAAGUGGAAAUCUUGUUUGUUAGGGAAUGCUUUCCCUUCGUGCAGCUUUGAUUUCUUUGUUUUGGCAUGAAUUAAUGAUGCCUUGUUUCUUAUGAUCAUUACCUCUGUUCUUUCAGUUUUAUCUGAAUUAGGUUUUGAGCAAAAGUUUUAACAAUGAUAUUUGGAAGCAUCUCUCUUUCUCUCCCAAUUUUCUCAUGUUGUUUAGUCACUGAUUUGAAUGAAGGAGCAGUUGUGCUCUUCGUUUUUUUAUUUAUCUUUAUUCUUGGCUUUUGGACAUCAACAUGGAACUAGUUUUUGUGCUAUAAUUGCUGGAAUUCUUCAAAGUUCACACAAGAACUAUAUUUUGAUGUUGUUCUCCUCUUUUAAUGCUAUGUAGCUAAGGAUUUAUACAUAUAGCUACUGCAGGUUCAAGUGUACCUAUUGAAGGUGAUUGUUAACAAAUAUAUUUUUACUAAGGUUUUGAAUUAACGCCUUCCUUACUUACAAUCUGUUUCAUCCAAACAGUAAUUUUCCCAUUAGAGCCUUGUCUAUACUUUAUGCUUAAUCACCUUCUCUUUUAACUGAAAGUAUUGUCUGAAAAAAAAAAAAAAAAGUGCCUUACUCUAAUUUCAGUUUUUAACCUCCACUUUAGUCAUGACUCAAUUCUGGGUUGUGACACUGCUGGUCAUCUUCAUUGGCUUUUUACUCUUUAAAGCACUAUAGGUGCAGCUAGACAUCUCGGCCGAAUCCGCAAUGGCACUAUCGUAUUCAGGACUCGAGUCUUUCAUUGCAAUGUUGAUUCUUCUGGUAAUGUAAGUUUGGAAAUCGUAAAGGAUGGUUGGAGUCCAGCACUAACGAUUACAAAGGUGCUACUAGCAAUUCGGUCCAUUUUCACAAAACCUGAUCCUUGUAAGUUCUUCUAUUAUACUUUGAGCUUUCUUUGUGGUAUUGUUUGUAUGCAUGUUCUUGUUCUUGGUCUUUGUAUAGCAAUAGUUUACUUGUAGGACUAAAUGUUAGUAUUUUGAAGGAACUCAUACUGGUGUUAAACAUCAUCAAAGAAGAAAGCAGCACUCAAUUAUUUUUUUUUGUUUCCUGACUUGAUCAUUGGUUUAAGAUAAAAUAUAUUCCCCAAUAUCAAACUCGUUUAGCACCAACUCCAAUGAUCUGUUGCUCGUACUAAGAUAAAACAUGCACUUUUUUUUUUAAAAUAUGGUGAUUAGUAAGAGAUAAUGGUCACUGGAAGAAAUAUUUACCAGAUUUUCUCAAUAUCUUUAUAGUUUUGUAAUGCUCUGAGCAUAGUAUGGUGUUCAGUGUUCCUUUUAAUAUAAUAUCUGGUGCAAACAAAUUGCAGUGCCAACAAGUGCUUAAAGAGCUAGAAGCAAGUAUCGGUCAAUCUUGCUGGGGGUUUCUAUAUAGUCAUAAUUGCACUUACUUUUGAUUAGUAUAUAUUUGUUGGAUUUGAUCAUCUGCUACAAGCUUGGCCAAGUGGUUGAGACUUGCUGUGAAUAUAUGGGGACAACAUCAUUGCUGGUAAUAAGGCGGAAGUCUGGGGCACGAGUUCUUGUUGUUGUUGUGGACUAGUGAGCUCACUCUCUCUUUUGAAGGCGAGGUUUAUGUGUUUUUUGCUGUUAUGCCCCAGAAGGUCACUCUGUUUCUUUCUUCCUUGUAUAUUAUAAAUUGUUUAAUUCUAAAAUGCUUGUAUAUUAUGUACAUAGUAAGGCAUGCAUUAUCCCUUUUGUUUUCAUUGCAUUUGUUAAUUGUGUCAGGAACUAUAUGGUGGAAUGUUGCAUAAAGAGUCUUUGGGAGAUCAAGCGUGGAGUACCAAGCAAUGCAGCAAGCUAUAUUUUCUUUCAACAUGUAAAACUUAACUAGGAAACUUAAAUGCUUUUUAGUCUAUGAGAUGUAUGAAUGCUUUAGCAAUGUUCCUUAAAUUCAAUAUUUGAUGAAUUGAUGUAUCACAAUGAUUUUGGUACAAAUGUUGAUCAUUUGAUGGUUUGCAUUCAAUUUGUAUUCCAA